GCGUCUGUAGCUCAGUUGGUUAGAGCACCACCCUGACAUGGUGGGGGGCCGAUGGUUCGAGUCCAUUCAGACGCA
rnacentral:tRNA from 1 species